rnacentral:rRNA from 1 species
CCUGAUUAAUAUAGGAGGUCCAGCCUGCCCAGUGACUCUGUUUAACGGCCGCGGUAUUCUAACCGUGCGAAGGUAGCGUAAUCACUUGUUCUUUAAAUGAGGACUAGUAUGAAUGGCAUCACGAGGGUUAUACUGUCUCCUUUUCCAAAUCAGUGAAACUAAUCUCCCCGUGAAGAAGCGGGGAUAAAAAUAUAAGACGAGAAGACCCUAUGGAGCUUAAAACUUUCAACAAUUAUAUUUUAUUUAUAAACCUAAAGGUAAUCAAACUAAUCCUUAUAAUAUGUGUGUUAGUUUUCGGUUGGGGUGACCGCGGAGUAAAACCUAACCUCCAUAUUGAAUUAAAUUAUUUAUUAGCAAAAAACUACAAUUUUAUGCAUCAAAAAAUUGACAUUAUUGACCCAAUAUUUUGAUCAACGAAC